rnacentral:rRNA from 1 species
UACGUAGGGUGCGAGCGUUAAUCGGAAUUACUGGGCGUAAAGCGUGCGCAGGCGGUUGUGCAAGACAGAUGUGAAAUCCCCGGGCUUAACCCUGGGAACUGCAUUUGUGACUGCACGGCUAGAGUGUGUCAGAGGGGGGUAGAAUUCCACGUGUAGCAGUGAAAUGCGUAGAGAUGUGGAGGAACACCGAUGGCGAAGGCAGCCCCCCUGGGUCAAGAUUGACGCUCAUGCACGAAAGCGUGGGGAGCAAACAGG